UGUGAAUGCCCUGCCUAUAACUGUAUCACUCGCUCACUCUAAAACGGCACAAGAUUUCUACAGACCGAACACUAAAUACAAACACUAAUCAAAAGAAAACUUUGACCUCAGUACCCAGUCACAAAGUUUCUAAAAUGCUGGGAAUCAAAAGGACGCAAGACCUCUAUCAGCGACUUAUAAACAUGGGUGUAAAUUGGAGAAAGGACAUCUUUUUAAAAAGUGAUCUACAAGGAACAAUAGGGUCCUGUAUCUCCAUAAAGAGGGCCCUCAGCUGGCCCAGGAACAGAGGAGAUAAGCACUUCAGCACUUUAAACAGAAGAGGCGACAUGUACAAGGCUUUCUCAGCUUCAGCUUGAAAGCCCUGAGCAGUCUUCCUGGUGAACUGAGAGAUCGUAGGAACUGCAGAUGCUGGAGAAUCUGAGAUAACAAGGUG